rnacentral:rRNA from 1 species
GACGAACGCUGGCGGCGUGCUUAACACAUGCAAGUCGAACGGAAAGGCCCUGCUUUUGUGGGGUGCUCGAGUGGCGAACGGGUGAGUAACACGUGAGUAACCUGCCCUUGACUUUGGGAUAACUUCAGGAAACUGGGGCUAAUACCGGAUAGGAGCUCCUGCUGCAUGGUGGGGGUUGGAAAGUUUCGGCGGUUGGGGAUGGACUCGCGGCUUAUCAGCUUGUUGGUGGGGUAGUGGCUUACCAAGGCUUUGACGGGUAGCCGGCCUGAGAGGGUGACCGGCAACAUUGGGACUGAGAUACGGCCCAGACUCCUACGGGAGGCAGCAGUGGGGAAUAUUGCACAAUGGGCGGAAGCCUGAUGCAGCAACGCCGCGUGCGGGAUGACGGCCUUCGGGUUGUAAACCGCUUUGGCCUGUGACGAAGCGUGAGUGACGGUAAUGGGUAAAGAAGCACCGGCUAACUACGUG